UUAGUUGAAAGAAUGCUUGAAUAAUCAAAACAGUGUGGGUACAUGUAUAUAACAAGGACACUAGAGAUUACAAACUAUACUAGAAGUUUACAAAUCAAAUUCUAGAGAUUACAAACUAUACUAGAAUUUUACAAAUCAAAAUCUGGAGAUUACAAACAACUAGCAUGGAUAAGGUUACAACAAACUAUACUAGAAGUUUAAUCAUUUGUCUUGAUCUCUUGCUUAAACAACUAGCAUGGAUAAGGUAUCUCCCUCUCUUGCUCCAUUCCGUUAAUCUUUCGAAGUAAUCCGGCAUUGGAGGAUCAUACCAAGCAAAAAAUUGACAAGCAUUCCUCUGUAAAAAAAUUGCAUUUCAGAGAUAUGUGCAAUUAAAUAGAAUGGAAUAUAUAUAUAUAACAUUAAAUUUGAACCAUAACACACUUACUUUUCCUUAAUUCGGACAUUAAGUAUUUUUAUUUUUAUAUAUUUUUGGCCCUAAAAGCACAUGUGACAUAACUUGUACAUAUAUCACAGAAAAUAGCACAUUGUACACAGAGAUUGAAGACAGAAAUAGGCUAUAGGCCUACACAUUGUGCUAUAGGCCUACACUCAUUCAAAGAGGCCAAAUAGUCGCUUAUUGUUAAUUACCAAACAUAAGCAAUGUCGAUUAACAGUAUGUCCAUGAGACCUAAACCUCAAAUAGUACCAUAUACUACCAAUAUUUCAAACAUCAUAAUCAUAUUAAUACUAAUCAAUCAAAUGGAUCAAGUAAUUUAUCAGAAACCUAGAAUAUUCCAAAUUCCCUCCAUGUAGAUGAGUAUAAGACUGAAUUAAGCUGAAUUGGGUAGGCUGUAGGCAAAAGCUUUAAAAUUUAUUAAAUUUACCUUCAAAACAACAAUACCUAAUAUAAACAGAUACAAAGUAAACGAAUUACACAAGAUUAAAAAAUAGAAAAAGCUCCAAUAAUAAAUGCUAGCCCUAGAAGAAGCAACACGGUGAAAGAGAAAAUGGAGUAAUUUGAUAAAUUAAGUUGGACGAGCUUAGACCCUGUUGAACUCUGCCUAAUCAAAAUCAUCGCCCUUAAUUUUGUUACCUUUUGACGGAUUUGGGGCGAGUUAUAGGGCAAGUCGUCGCGACGAGAUUUGGGGCGAGUUUUGGGAAGCGAGCAGGAGAGGCAGAGGGAAGAAGCGAGUGAGUGACCAUGCGAGCAGGGGGCGAGAGAAUCUGAGAGCAAACUGCUCAUGAGAACUGAGGGAAAGAGAGAUUAAGACGCGAAGAGAGGAGAGCUUGAGAGAGGAGAGCGAUUAAAAGAGUUCAAAGUCUGAAGUUCGCGUCUGAAUGGUGAGGAGAGAGAAAAAAAU
rnacentral:lncRNA from 1 species